rnacentral:tRNA from 1 species
GAGAGUAUAGCUCAAGUGGUAGAGUGCCAGCUUAGCAUGUAUGAAGUCCUGGGUUCAAUCCCCAGUACCUCCA